rnacentral:rRNA from 1 species
UACGGAAGGUCCGGGCGUUAUCCGGAUUUAUUGGGUUUAAAGGGAGCGCAGGCUGGCCUUUAAGCGUGACGUGAAAUGUCCCGGCUCAACCGGGGAGUUGCGUCGCGAACUGGUGGUCUUGAGUGAGUGCGAGGUACGCGGAAUUCGUGGUGUAGCGGUGAAAUGCUUAGAUAUCACGAAGAACCCCGAUUGCGAAGGCAGCGUACCAGUCCUUAACUGACGCUAAAGCUCGAAGGUGCGGGUAU